UACGGUUGCAAAGCUGAAACUUAAAGGAAUUGACGGAAGGGCACCACCAGGAGUGGAGCCUGUGGCUUAAUUUGACUCAACACGGGAAACCUCACCCGGUCCGGACACUGGAAGGAUUGACAGACUAAAGCUCUUUCUUGAUUCAGUGGGUGGUGGUGCAUGGCCGUUCUUAGUUGGUGGAGUGAUUUGUCUGGUUAAUUCCGAUAACGAACGAGACUCUCGCCUGCUAAAUAGUUUUCCAUACGUUACCUUAUGGAACCUAAACUUCUUAGAGGUACAAGUGGCGUUUAGCCACACGAAACAGAGCAAUAACAGGUCUGUGAUGCCCUUAGAUGUCCGGGGCCGCACAUGUGCUACAAUGAAUGCAUCAACGUGUAUCAGCCUCGCCCGAAAGGGUUGGGGAAUCCGCUGAACGGCAUUCUCAGUAGGGAUUGGGGAUUGCAAUUAUUUCCCAUGAACACGGAAUUCCCAGUAGGCGCCAGUCAUCAGCUGGCGUCGAUUGAGUCCCUGCCCUUUGUACACACCGCCCGUCGCUACUACCGAUCGCUCUUGUUAAUGAGCUUGUCGGAUUGGACCCGGUGAGCAGUCGUUGCGCUCCAUCUCCUCGCGGGGUGGGCCUUCGUCUGCGAGCUUUGGUGUAUGCCGAGAAGAUCGGCAAAUUAUCUGGAGUAGAGGAAGUAAAAGUCGUAACAAGGUAUCCGUAGGUGAACCUGCGGAUGGAUCAUUACUGUUUAAUAGAUAAACGGAGAUGGCAUCAUUCAUUUCACGCGAAGUUUGUGUCGGACUCCCGACGACGGUGCGGCGACCUCGAACCCAGCAGAGGAUGCCUAUACGUACUGGACUCGGUCGAGGCCGUCCGCUUCGAAUCCUAAUUUACUGGAAUCCAAAAUGUAAAAAAAGGCUUUCCGGGAAGGGAAACCCGGUCUACCAAAAACUCCCCGUGUACAAAACAAAUACGUACUACUCUGUGCGGUGGAUCACUCGGCUCGUGUGUCGAUGAAGAGCGCAGCUAGCUGCGAGAAGUAAUGUGAAUUGCAGAACCACAUUGAAACAUCGACAUCUUGAACGCACAUGGCGGCCUCCGGGUUACUCCGGAGGCCACGUCUGUCUGAGGGUCGGCUUUGUAGUGCUAUGAGAAUCGGCGGUCUCCACCACCACACCAGUUGAAAAAAACUGGAUACUGGAUAUGGACGUCCGCCUGGGUGCUUCUCGGUAACACGAAAGGAAAAAAGCCGCCGGGUGGCGAGUUGUUGACCUAGCCCUCGGAGCGUGCUUUGUUGGAAAAAACAAAAACAACAACGCAAUCCGACCUCAGAUC
rnacentral:rRNA from 1 species